AUGAAAACCACAGCAGAGAAGAAGAAGAUGAGCCCCGGGCUAGUGUCAGUCAUGGUCUUCCCAGCACACACCUGUCACCAGGUUGAACGUUACGGUCCCCAGCACCAUAGCCAGAAGCACCCUUGUGAUUAUGCCGCUGCUUGUGGUGUAAGCCCCGAGGACCCAGCGUUCUGGCCAGACACGUGACUUCACACAGCCAACCUUCAAGGAACAGUGUGCCUCAGCUGCCCUAACCACAGGCCCACGAUCUCGCUGGGGUUUCCAGAACGGUGUGCAUUCAUUCGGCUAUACAAACCGCAGGCCCGAGAUCCUGCAGGGCUUCCUCACGCCAUGCUUCUCCUUCUGCUUGCGCCACAGAUAUUUGCUGACUCCAUGUUCUGUGAAGAACCAGAGCCAGGCAAUACACAGAAGAUCUGCCAGCCCUGCAGCAGUUAUGGGUAACCUUGUUGCCCUGAAGUCUUGCUCUGUGCCUGUGAGACUCUAGGGCUGUUUAGCACACAUUGUCCUCACUGUCUGUUAUAGUUUAAGUAUAAAAUGUCCAGAGUUCCAUGUGCUUGAAUAGCUGCCCCCCCCCUUCUGGGGACCUUAUAAAUACUUCUAGACUUAGAGCCUAGCAGGCCGAGGUGGGUGUGCCCUUGAUGGUUGUAACCAGACCUGCUCCAGUGCUCUCCUGUCUCCUACUUGCCAUGAUGAAACAUUCAGGUGCCAUGUCUUCCCACCAUGAAGUAUUUCCUGAAAGUGUGAGCCAAAGCAGACCUUUCUUUCCCCCGUGGACUUUUCCUCUGUCAAGUACUCUGUCACAGUGCUGAGGUACCAAUGACUUCUCACAAAGGCCAUGUCUGCCAAAGACCAAGCACACUGGAGCAACCCCUGGACCCUCAGGCUCCUUGACCAGUUACUAGUGAGAGAGUUCAGAUACCUUCAGGCUUUCAGAAACUACAGCACUUGAGACAGUGCCAACAAUACAGCCAGAGUGGAGACGUGAGCUGUGGGGUAAGAGGACACUGGGCACCAUGUGAAGACCUGUCUGCACACAGCCUCUGAGAAGUCCCCUAGCCACCCACCUCCGUCCUGGCAUCCUCCAAACACAGGCAAGCCUCUUUUGCUGGAGCCUUUUACUGCUUAAUGUGGACUUUACAAAUGAGAGAAUGUAGUCUCUCUGAGUCUGGCUGUUUUGCUUAAUAUAAUGAUCUCUUAAAAUAUCCUGACUUUAUCCUUUAUGGGUGGGUGAAGCGCCACUGUGAACACACUGCAUAAUCUUCCUUUCUGCAUCUGUGCAGACACUGACACUGGGUUAUAACUAGACUGUUGCGAGUAGUGCUGCAGUAAACACGGUGCACAGGCGUUGCAGUGUGCUGGUGUAGGUUCCUUCCAGAAUGUUCAGAAGCAAGCUGGUUGGAUCCUAUGAGGUUCUGUCUAUAGUUUCCUUAGGACCUCCAUGCUGAUCUCCACAGUGGUGGCAGUAGUUUGUAUCCUGGCCAGCGGUAGUAAGUGCCCCUCUCCACAGCAUCCUCGGCAGUGAGAAGGUUGGGAUGGAGUCUGGUAUAGCUUUGGCUCGAAGUCCCCUGAUGGGUAGGGACCCUGAACACAGUCACAUACUCACAUGUUUAUUAGUACUUCAUCAAUUGAGAGCUGCUCAUUUGUGCUUUGAAGUAGGAUUGUUUGGGGUUUAAUUUUGUAAGUUUUUGUAUAUUCUAAAGACUGCCCGCAUGUUACGUGUUGUCUCAGUGAAGGUGUCAAUCGCUGCAAUAUACCACAACCUAAAGCAACUUGAGAAGAACGGCUUAUCAAUAAAUGACUCCCAGGUCACAGUCCACUAUCAGGGACGUCAGGGUAGGGAAUCAAGGAAGAAACCUGGCAUUAUUUUAUGUAUAGGUGUCUUGUCUGCACAUAUACAUAAGUGCACCCCAUGCAUGCAGUAUCCACAUGCAGUAUCCACAUGCAGUAUCCACAUGCAUGCAGUAUCCACAUGCAUGCAGUAUCCACAUGCAUGCAGUAUCCACAUGCAGUAUCCACAUGCAUGCAGUAUCCACAUGCAUGCAGUAUCCACAUGCAUGCAGUAUCCACAUGCAUGCAGUAUCCACAUGCAUGCAGUAUCCACAUGCAUGCAGUAUCCACAUGCAUGCAGUAUCCACAUGCAGUAUCCACAGAGGCCAAAGGAGGCCUAGUUCCCCUAGAACUAGAAUUGUGAAUGGUGGUGAGCUGCCGAGUCAGCGCUGAGAACCCAAGCCGCGUCAGAGCAACAGUAAUUCUGAGUGGGAUUAUCUCUCUGCCUUUCUCAGCACGCGCAUGUGCUGAUGUGUAUGCUGUUCCCUUGCAGAUUUACCUCAUAUCAGAGUAUUCUGGUAGAAUCCAGGGUAUGUGUAGCGUGGUAUCAUGUCCACUGCAAACAGGAAUGGAUGGGGCUCUUGUGCUACUAUCUAAGGCCUUCCCUCCUGUUUCUUCCUUCUACCCUGCUGCUGUAGCUAAGACUCAAGUACUGUAUUGAGUCUCUCUCUCUCUCUCUCUCUCUCUCUCUCUCUCUCUCUCUCUCUCUCUCUCUCUCUCUUCUCUCUCUCUCCUCUUUGGUUUUUUGAGACAGGGUUUCUCUGUGUAGCCCUGGCUGUCCUGGAACUCACUCUGUAAAACAGGCUGGUCUCAAACUCAGAAAUCCACCUGCCUCUGCCUUCCAAGUGCUGGGAUUAAAGGCAUGUGCCACCACCGCCUGGCUUGAGCAAGUAUUCUCUUCCUGGCUUCAGAGGAAAUGUUUUUCAUCUUUCCCUACUUAGUACAAUGUGCCUUUUGCUCUGAAACAGUCUUAUAACACUGAGAAGUGUUCCUACUAUGCUUAGGUUUUUUGUGACUUUUAUGUAGAAUGGGUAUUGAACUAUAUUAAAGGCUUUAUCUGUAUCAAGAUAACUAUGUAAUGUAUGUCCACGAGGUAAUAAUUAUGUGGCUAAUUGUAUCUCUACUGUAUCAGGAAUCAACUGAAAACCAAGCAUCCGGGCAUGCCAGCGUGGGGUUUUCUUGGUUGCAUCGUUCCAGGUGGGAAGAGCUGUCCCAAUCCAGGCCACACCUUCUAGUGGCAUCACACAUAAAGACCACAGAAGAAGGGAGCUUUUGCUUUUUGCCUGUUAGCACGCGUUCUCCUUUGCAUAUUCAUCUGUCCUGUUGAUGAGACAGACAUUCCUUCUAUGGUAUCAGAGCCGACUUCUUCGGGAUUCCAGCAGAUGUAAGACCAACAGUUAUCUUGGAAUCUUCCAUGGCUCCAGCUCUAGAUUGGGACUGCAGAGACGUUCAGUUUCACAGACUAAGCGACUACUGGACUCUUGGUCUUUCUGUCAGGAGACAGCUACUGUUGGACUGUCCAGAGCACAGCCUGUAAAAUGUUCUAAAUCUCAUAUAUAUGUACACAUUGCACUUGUGUGUGUGUGUAUACAUGUGUUUUCAUUCAGUCCACUAGUUUUGUUUUCUACAGUACCCUGACUAAAAC
rnacentral:lncRNA from 1 species